rnacentral:lncRNA from 1 species
GGCCACUGAGGCCUCCCCGUUCACCUCCCAGAGGCCGCCACUUUCUUCAGGGCUAUCAGAUGAAGGCAGCAACGAAAACACCACAAGACCAACUUCAGGCUGGAGCUGAUGAUGCCACACAGGGGCUUCCUGGAGCUCCUGCAACCCCAGGCAUUAGUUCCAGUGCAGUUCUAGGAUCAGAUCAAUUCACUCGACAACAAGAGAAACAAAUGGAGAUUCCUACACAAAGACUUUCAAGCACAAAGAAAUCCUGCUGCCUGUAAAGUGGAGCUGCCUCAGCUCUUGAUGAACGACAGAAAAUACCACCUACUGCCAGACCUCAACGCCUCACAAAACUCUCACCCACCUACUGCUUUUAGCUCACAUUCCAGGAAUUCAGAUGAAGUGAAGUGCUCUCAUGGGGACCAGGCAUGGUUAUUCCAGUCCACUGCCCUGCAAGCCUCAAGGGAAGCCAACUGCCCUUCAGCAAGUCACACCUGCCUUGGUGGAGGCCUUGAUUGGAAGUGCCACACGCUACAUGUCCAGUCCUGAGCGGGAGAAUCGGUGUAGGGACGUUGUGGGGAUGCCGGCUGUGGCCAGAUCAGGUCCAGCUACAGAAGAAUGAAGACUCCACCUGAGGGCUGGAAAAACAAAACCUCAAGUGUGAGGCAGCCAACCUGUUACCUCGAGGGACUGUCCCGCAGCACAGCGGGGCCAUGGGAACAGCAGCAGACACCCCGGCCUCCUCGCUACCUGUGUGUGUAUUAACGCCCCGGCCCCCUCACUACCUGUGUGUGUAUUAACGCCCCGGCCCCCUCGCUACCUGUGUGUGUAUUAACGCCCCGGCCCCCUCGCUACCUGUGUGUGUAUUAACGCCCCGGCCCCCUCGCUACC